UACGUAGGUGGCAAGCGUUGUCCGGAAUUAUUGGGCGUAAAGAGCUCGUAGGCGGUGUGUCACGUCGGCCGUGAAAACCUGCAGCUUAACUGUGGGCGUGCGGUCGAUACGGGCAUCACUGGAGUUCGGCAGGGGAGACUGGAAUUCCUGGUGUAGCGGUGAAAUGCGCAGAUAUCAGGAGGAACACCGGUGGCGAAGGCGGGUCUCUGGGCCGAUACUGACGCUGAGGAGCGAAAGCGUGGGGAGCAAACAGG
rnacentral:rRNA from 1 species